rnacentral:lncRNA from 1 species
GAAUAAUGUCACAUUUAUUAUAAAUGUUUUAACCGUCUUUGUCUGUAUUGUAGAUAUAGAUGAGUGUGCAGAGCUCACGACCUGUCCCAAUGCUAAGUUUGAGUGUAAGAACAAGCCUGGCUCUGUCAACUGCUUCUGUAGAUACCAGAAGUCCAAGGACACUGAUGGCUGUGGUGACUUUGCCAAUCCACCAGGGGGUAAUUUGUUCAACGUCUCUUUGGACUGGACAAAGAACAAAUCUGAUGGACUCAAACAGGUGUGUGUGUGUGUGUGUGUGUGUGUGUGUGUGUGUGUGUGUGUGUGUGUGUGUGUGUGUGUGUGUGUGUGUGUGUGUGUGUGUGUGUGUGUGAGUUUGUGUGUACAAAUUUCCACACUGCGUAAUGCAAAUCUGUUUCUCCUUCUUUCGCAGCUGGUGGACAUUCUGUCGAUGGGUUUCCAGAACAAAUUCUACAACGCAAGCAUGAAGGAUCCGGUGCAG